rnacentral:rRNA from 1 species
AAUAGAUACCCGGUAGUCCAUGCCGUAAACGUUGGGCGCUAGAUGUGGGACCAGUUCCACGGUUUCCGUGUCGCAGCUAACGCAUUAAGCGCCCCGCCUGGGGAGUACGGCCGCAAGGCUAAAACUCAAAGGAAUUGACGGGGGCCCGCACAAGCGGCGGAGCAUGCGGAUUAAUUCGAUGCAACGCGAAGAACCUUACCAAGGCUUGACAUAUACGAGAACGCUCUAGAAAUAGAGAACUCUUUGGACACUCGUAUACAGGUGGUGCAUGGUUGUCGUCAGCUCGUGUCGUGAGAUGUUGGGUUAAGUCCCGCAACGAGCGCAACCCUCGUUCUAUGUUGCCAGCACGUCAUGGUGGGAACUCAUAGGAGACUGCCGGGGUCAACUCGGAGGAAGGUGGGGAUGACGUCAAAUCAUCAUGCCCCUUAUGUCUUGGGCUUCACGCAUGCUACAAUGGCCGGUACAAUGGGCUGCGAUACCGUAAGGUGGAGCGAAUACCCAAAAAGCCGGUCUCAGUUCGGAUUG